GGGCACUUAGCUCAGUGGCAGAGCAUCGCUUUUACACAGCGAGGGUCGGAGGUUCAAAUCCUCCAGUGCCCA
rnacentral:tRNA from 1 species